CUCAAAGGAAUUGACGGGGGAGCACCACAACGGGUGGAGCUUGCGGUUUAAUUGGAUUCAACGCCGGAAAUCUUACCGGGACCGACAGCAAUAUGAAGGCCAGGCUGAAGACUUUGCCGGAUUAGCUGAGAGGUGGUGCAUGGCCGUCGUCAGUUCGUACUGUGAAGCAUCCUGUUAAGUCAGGCAACGAGCGAGACCCACGCCCACAGUUGCCAGCGUACUCUCUGGAGUGACGGGUACACUGUGGGACCGCCGCUGCUAAAGCGGAGGAAGGAAUGGGCAACGGUAGGUCAGUAUGCCCCGAAUAUCCCGGGCUACACGCGAGCUACAAUGGUUGGUACAAUGGGUAUCUACCCCGAAAGGGGACGGGAAUCUCCUAAAACCAAUCUUAGUUCGGAUUGAGGGCUGCAACUCGCCCUCAUGAAGCUGGAAUCCGUAGUAAUCGCGUUUCAACAGAACGCGGUGAAUACGUCCCUGCUCCUU
rnacentral:rRNA from 1 species